AUCACCAGGGGACCUUGUUAAAAUGCAGAUUCUAUUUAAGAAGUCUGUGUUGGGCCCAAGUUUCUGCAUUUCUAUCAAGCUCCCAAGUGAUCCCAA
rnacentral:pre_miRNA from 1 species